rnacentral:rRNA from 1 species
CCUACGGGUGGCAGCAGUGGGGAAUAUUGCACAAUGGGGGAAACCCUGAUGCAGCGACGCCGCGUGAGUGAAGAAGUAUUUCGGUAUGUAAAGCUCUAUCAGCAGGGAAGAAAAAAGACGGUACCUGACUAAGAAGCCCCGGCUAACUACGUGCCAGCAGCCGCGGUAAUACGUAGGGGGCAAGCGUUAUCCGGAUUUACUGGGUGUAAAGGGAGCGUAGACGGUGCGUCAAGUCUGAAGUGAAAGCCCGGGGCUUAACCCCGGGACUGCUUUGGAAACUGGCGCGCGAGAGUGCUGGAGAGGUAAGUGGAAUUCCUAGUGUAGCGGUGAAAUGCGUAGAUAUUAGGAGGAACACCAGUGGCGAAGGCGGCUUACUGGACAGUAACUGACGUUGAGGCUCGAAAGCGUGGGGAGCAAACAGGAUUAGAUACCCGUGUAGUC